AUUAGAAUAAAAUAAAAAUAUUGAAUAAAAUAUUCAAUUUUCUUAUAAAACAAUAUUUUUAGAACACUGCAUAAAUAAUUUUUACAGCGUAAGAGCAAAAUAAAUUCAUAUAUAUCGUAAUACAGUAAGCCAGAGUAUUUAAUUUAAUUUACAGUAACAAGUGGGCCCUCGAAUAACCGAAAGUAAGAAAAAUUGUGAACCUACAGUUUGGAAGAUGCAAAUCCAAUGGUGGUCCUCGAUGAAAUCAGCUAUCUAUAGACUAUCCUGAGCCUAAAAUGGGUGAAAAUGAGGGUGGUGAGAUUAUAUAAUCCCAGUGAGUAAACAAAUACCAUCUAAAAUAUCUAAAGCCGAGUAAAUGGAGACAGAUAAAAUAAUUUAACAUACUGUAAUUCAUCACCUUUCAACUCAUUUCAAUCAAAUAAAAUCGAUUCAUAUAAAUCGAGUAAAUAACAUGGCUUAUGAAUUUUUUAAAACUUUGGCUCGUGCCAAAAUCAUUUUUAUACCCAGUUAUCAGGGAUGCCUUGAUCGAGGGCUAUCCUAAUCGAGUCCGCCAAUGCUGGUAAAAAGCUAUGUACACAUAAAUCAUGUUUUUAUUUUGAAAACAUAGUCGUUCCUUGGCAUUGGCCGAGUUCACCCUCAUGUGGUGGUUUGGCGUGAAGUGAACUCUAAAGUGUUAACCUCAGGAGUUAUCCAUCCGCGCCUCUCAUACUGAGGUAUGAAUAUAACCAAGUUUCGUGCCCCUCUAAUAGGCAGAUCCACAGAACCAGCCUACUGUAGCAAGCUAAACCCACCAUACAAUAAAAAUUCAACAGCAUGACAUGGCAAUUUUAUCAUUAUCCAGCCUAUCAAGGCCAACAACAGUUUAUACAUUUCAACAUAAAUACAAAUUCAGCGAUUCAUGCCAAUAUUAUCAUAAGCCAAUCAAUUAGAACCAUACAUUCACAAUACAUCAAAUGGUCUCCAAUUACUACAUUUUCAAAGCCAUUAUUCAAUUUCAAGAUAAUUUUAUAAAAUCAUUUCAUUUAAACACAUUUUGCUUAUAAAACAUAAAGAUUUACCAUUUAAACUCAUUUUCCAUAAAAUCACAAAAUCGGAUAAAACAUACUUUAGAUAAUUAAGACGAUAGUAAGGUUACUCACUAUUUUGGAAGUCGAAUUUCAAGUACUCCGAUUCUUGAUUCCUCGGGUACUAUCUCUUUACUUUUGCCAAAAUGCUCACCACCUAGACAUAAUGCACAAUAAGCCAUUUACUACAUUGUGCUAAAUUGUUAUAAAACCAAUUCAGGCUUUAUACUAAUGUAUGAAAUGGGAUGCAAAUUGUUCGGAUUACCGUCUAAACACAGUAUUAUACACAAAUUCAUUUGGGUCCCUAAUUAAAUCGGUAUUGGCCUAAUUCGAUCUAUCACUUGAUUAAUUGGCCAAUAUGUCCAAUUCAACUCCAAUUAAGUCCAUUUUUCUCCCAAUACUCCAAAUCAUUAAACACAAUUUAAAUAACUUGAAAUGUGGCAAAAUCAUCAUCACAUUUUCUCUUGAAAAAUUCGACCAUUUUGAGUGCAUCAACACCAUGAUUUUUUCUACUUGAUUCUCACACCAUAAAUCACUAAUUCCUAACCAAAUCACUUGAAAUAAAAUCAAAAUCAUCAUCAAUAUUCUACAUGGAGAAUUCGGCCAAUGAUGGGUUAUGGGAGAAAAUGAAUUUUUCUUAUUUGAUUUUCAUGCUACACAUCACCAACUAACUAAAAACACUAGAAUAUCUUAAAAUCUAACCAAAACAACCAUCAAAUCUUCUCUCUCUAAAUUCGGUCAGCCAUGAAUCCUUCAUGAUAUCUUGUGAUUCAACCAUGGAAAAUGCAAAAUAAUGCAUGGGAAAGGUAGAUCACAAGUCAAAAUCAAGAAAUUUUACUUUUGAUUGCUUGAUUACUUGAAUUUUCAUACUUUUCCCUUGGAUUUUUCCACCUAGGGUUUGUGUUCUUCUUUUCUUCCUUUGUUCUUGCUAUGGCCGGC
rnacentral:lncRNA from 1 species